AUGCAGAUCUUCGUCAACACCCUGACGGGCAAGACCAUCACUCUGGAGGUGGAGUCUUCGGACACCAUCGACAACGUGAAGGCAAAGAUCCAGGACAAGGAGGGCAUCCCCCCGGACCAGCAGCGCCUCAUCUUCGCCGGCAAGCAGCUCGAGGAUGGCCGCACUCUUGCUGACUACAACAUCCAGAAGGAGUCCACCCUCCACCUGGUGCUCCGCCUUCGUGGUGGUAUGCAGAUCUUCGUCAAGACCCUGACGGGCAAGACCAUCACUCUGGAGGUGGAGUCCUCGGACACCAUCGACAACGUGAAGGCGAAGAUCCAGGACAAGGAGGGCAUCCCCCCGGACCAGCAGCGUCUCAUCUUUGCUGGUAAGCAGCUUGAGGAUGGCCGCACUCUGGCAGACUACAACAUCCAGAAGGAGUCUACCCUUCACUUGGUGCUUCGCCUGCGUGGUGGCCAAAUUGGAUAA
rnacentral:rRNA from 1 species